rnacentral:rRNA from 1 species
UUAAUUUGAAAAUUAUCUAAAUUAAUCAUUGACGGCUUGAAUGACAUCUGAUAUAAUUAAAUUGUUAGUCAGCGCUUAUAAUUGACU